UCCCGUGUGGCUCAGUUGGUAGAGCAUGGUGUUUGCAACGCCAGGGAUGUCGGUUCGAUUCCCAAGGGGG
rnacentral:tRNA from 1 species